rnacentral:lncRNA from 1 species
GCAGAAUGUUUUUGUUGACCGUAUUAUUGAGCAAUUCAGUAAUGUCUGGCCACUUCUCGGAAAACAGUUGUUCUACUGUGUCCUUCUCAUGUUCACUUGUGUCCAAAGUCAGAAACCCUUGUCAGAGAGGAUCCCAGUGUGUCCAUGUACAGAUCAGCUGCUUCAGUUCCACGGGGAAGUAGUGCUGCUUAGAUAUGUUUUCCUCAACCACCAUGUGCAAGAUGGUUGGGGAUUCCUCUUCCUGUAGCAUUUGGGGAAAGUUAACCUUUAUUAAAUUUAUGAAUAACAACUGCUUGUCAAGAGUUAUGUUUUGAACAUUAUUAACAUACCAGGAAUCAUGUGGUUGUUCCAGGCCUCUACUACCCUGCCAAUGCCCAGAUGACACAACUGACAGACAAGGAGUGUUUGGUGUUGGGAAAGAUGAAAUGAAGACAGAAGAAGUGAAGACGGCGCUGGGACAGUCUGUAACUCUACACAGCGGUGUAGAGGAAUAUCAUCAGAUCAUCUGGAUGUUUGAGGACAGGAAUAUAGCUAAGUGUAGGGGGAACACAGAUGGGACUGGAUCAUGUGAGAUCACUGAUGAGAGACUCAGAGACAGACUGAAGACAGACGAUCAGACCGGAUCUCUCACCAUCAUCAACAUCAGCCCUGAACUCACUGGACUUUAUAAACUACAGAUCAUCAACAGAUCCUCUAAAACUUCAUCAUACAAGCAGUUCAGUGUUACUGUCUCUGCACUGACUACAGAAGCAGAUCAAACUGGACUGGGACUGGGACUGAUUGUGGGACUGGGUCUGCUGGUGCUGCUGGUGUUUGUUGGUGUUGUGAUUUAUUGUUGCUGUUGCAGAAACAAUAAAUCAAAAUGGCAAGUAUAAUCUACAGCUAAUACUGUACAUCUAAUAACAUUGUGUAAAAUUAAAACCCCUGAGCUCACAUUCCCUUCACUUGUUGUAGCAG